rnacentral:rRNA from 1 species
UACGUAGGGGGCAAGCGUUGUCCGGAAUCAUUGGGCGUAAAGCGCGUGUAGGCGGUUCGGUAAGUCCGCUGUGAAAGUCCAGGCUCAACCCUGGGAUGCCGGUGGAUACUAGUCGGGACUAGAGUACGGAAGAGGCGAAGUGGAAUUCCCGGUGUAGCGGUGAAAUGCGCAGAUAUCGGGAGGAACGACCAAUUGCGCAAGGCGAAGCUCGCUGGGACGUCGACUGACGCUGAGACGCGAAAGCG